GCUGUGAGAGUUCUAUCAAGAUGGUAUGUGGCAUGAUAUAGUGAAUAAGGAAAAUCUUAUGGCAGGUAAGGAACUGCACACAAGUAAGGCAGCCAGAGUGUUUUGGAAAGUAUGACUUUAACAGCAAAUAUAUCUGCUAUGUUUUUUUCUAGAUGUCUUCCAGGAGCUUCAUACAUUCAUAGGGAUGGCUUUUGGAGCACAAUUGAAUUAUGGACUUUACAGCUUGUCUUUAGGAGGUGGGGUCUGGUGGAAAGAGGAGACAAGCUGUGUUCCUGUGUUCAAUUCAGAACCUUCCCAUUCAAACUUCACCAUUUUAUAAAUUGGAUCUGUUUUUCCCUAGCAGCAGGACCUUCCUCUCCUUCAGUGCCACAUAAUAAUAAGAUCAAAAGGACAGAUGUGCUAUGCUCACAGCCUGGUCUCCUCUACCUCAGUUCAAUCUGCAAGAGUACUGUGUAUCUAGCCAAGAGAUAUCAAAAGUUCUAACUUCCUCUUACACUAAGUAGGACACCAUGUGGGCAGAGAUGUUAGUCAGCAGAAUUACCAAUACAUGCUGAGUCUUCAAGAGUUCUACCUAACCUCUGCUCUAGCUGGAUCUAUGUUGAGAAUCAAGUGCAAAGACCCCAGCAGAAUGAUUUAAAAUGUUUAGAGUUUGGCCAGAAGGGAAACUCCAAAAAAGCUAUGGACUGCAAAGACAGAGAAGAGGAGAUCUGGAUUGCUGAGAAGGAAGUAGAGAAUAGAGAAGUUGGCCUGAGGGCAUCAUAAGAAGCAGCAGGUCUCUACCAACUUUGCUUUGAUAUGGAAGAUACAGAGCAUCAUGUUCCAGAAUGGCGGAAGCAUAGAGAAUUUAUUCCUUGGAAUUGGAUUUAGUACUCUGUGAUUCAGGCACUUGACCCCUACAGGCAAGAGAGAGGGAAGACUCAGUACUACUGUUCCACCUGUUGGCAGACCUUGGUAUCAUUCAUGUGGCACUGGUUUUAGGUUUAUGAAGAAUGGAAAAGUAGUGGGGCCAGAAAGGCUUCCACCCAGAUUUCAGAAGAAAGCCUGGAAGGCCAGGCACUGGCCCUGAGAGGACAGUGUGUGAAGAUGUGAGUGUGAAUCCAGAGGUACACUGAAGACCCCAGAAGUUUGGAGAAGCCAGGACCAUGGAAUGUCUGUGGAAAGCUGCAAGGAAGGAGCAGAACUAGCCCAAGAGAGAAGCCAUGGGAGCUACAACCAUAUGCAGUGCCAUGGGCGUGGAGGCAUCCAGGUUCUUUGGAGUUCAUAGCUUGCCACAGAUUGCUGGAGAUGCUGGAAAUAGAACUGUGGAAUUUAAUGUUUGCCCUUGCUUUGAUCCUGUUCCUUUGUAUCCCCUGUUUGAAAAAUGUUUGAAAUAGAAAUGUCUACCUUGUGCCAUUGAAUAUUGGAGGUAUUUAAAUAUUUUUAUUUGUACAGGGGCUUGCAGGUAAUAAUUCACCUUAAAUCUCAAUCUCUGAGGAGACUUUGGACUUGGACCUUUCAGCAAUGCUGAAACCUGUUAGAACUUUGACAACUCUUGGAGAUGACUAAAUGCUUUUUUGCAUAAAGGGAUAUGCCUGAGUCUUUGGGAGGCCAGGGUCAGAAUGUUAUGGCUUGUGUUUAGAUGUACCCCCAAAUUCCUAUGCUGGUGGAUGAGGUGAGGCUUUCAUUUUCAAUGGCUAAAUCUGGAAUGUGUGAUGUUGGGAUUAAGGGCAUGUGAUUACUAAACUACUACACGUGAGUAAUUGGUUUGGCACCACCCUAAUCCUGGUAGUCUGAAUAAGAUAAAAGGGAAAGAAAGAUGUUGUUAAAGUCUCUUUUUGCUUUUGCUAUUUUGUGCACCAUGUUGUUUCUCUUCUGCAACGACUGUUUGGCACCCCUGCCUUGGUGUCAGCUGAUGGACUGAAACCUCUACGAAUUGUGAGCUAAAUAAAUAUUUCCCCCUUUAACUUUGGGUGUAAGGCAUUUUGUCUUAGCAAGGAGAGAAAAGUAAGACAGAGGGAGAUUUUUCAAAUACCCUUAUUUUGGCUUAAGAGUAGGGCAUUUAAAAUUUACUUCUAAUUGUGCAUUUUUUUUGCAGUUUUUAUAGCUGAGAGAUAUUUUUAAAAACUUUCUUUAUGUUCAAAAUAAAAUUGAGAAUAAUUUGCAGAGAUAUCUCAAAACCUUCCUCAUUCACUAUUUCAUCAUAUACAAUGCUGUUAGUAACAGUCAAAUAUGUAUCAAAUAUGACAUAUUUCUUUUAUGAGCUUUGAUGUCCUCUGACCUGAGACAAAAGAAAGUCUUAAAAAUGUUCACAAUUAACAGUCUAUGCUAAUAACUUAUUUGCAUGUGAUUUCCAAAUUAUGAGUGUUAAUCUCUCUUUGGCAUAUUAAUGGGAAAAUAAAAAUGUUUUAUUUUCAGCAAAGAUAUUUAUUAUGACUUAAAAUAUUACAUUGCAUAUUACACAAUGCUCAUCUUUUUAAAGAGAUAGCUUGCAUUUUUAUUAGGAUUUCACAUUUUGUGAAAAAAACCCUACAUAAAUGAGUAAAAGUUUCCAAAUUUAGUAUUUUUUUUUUUUUUUUGGUACCAGGGAUCAAACUUGGGUCCUUGCACUUGCGCUGCAGGUGGUGAAACCACUGAGCUAAAUCCCUGGCCCUCAAGUUUAGUAUUUUGAUUUUAAGUUAUAAUUAAUAAGCUUUCAUUUUAUCUUUAAGGAUUCUUUUAGAUUAACCAUUCAAAGUCAUAUAUAAAUUAAAUUAAACAUGUUCUUACAAUACUGAUGAUGUUAAUCAUUCUGAUUGCUGUUUAAGCAACCCUUUUUCAAAGACUCAAAUUAAGAAUAAGCCUAUACUUGAAAAAUAAGGACUUCAGAUAUUGAACUAUAUGCUUUAGGCCAGAACAUAACCAAUAAUUUUUAGAUUUUGAUAUUUUUUACAACAUAUAUACACCACUAAUAUAAGCUCAACUAUAAUAGAGUAAAAUGGUCACUAAACAGGCGACCAUGUCUUGAAUUCUAGUCCCAAAAUGUAAUUCAUCAUCUUAAGAGGAAUACUUGACCUUUCUAAGCAUCAGAUUGUGCAAAAUUGUAAUGAUAGGGUUAUUUUGAUCCUUUUCAACUCUG